GGACGGAACUCUGGAGAGACUCUUAAAUUGAGCGCCGAAGGUGAAAUACAGCAAUGACAAGUUGCUGACAAAUCUCUCAGGCAAAAGGACAGAGACAAAAAU
rnacentral:ncRNA from 2 species